CAAGUCGAGCGAGGUCCAUUCGGUGGUAACACUGAUGAAGACCUAGCGGCGAACGGGUGAGUAACACGUGAGCAACCUGCCCCGAAGUUCGGGAUAACCCGGGGAAACCCGAGCUAAUACCGGAUACCUUCCUUUGGUCGCAUGGCUAUUGGAGGAAAGAUUUAUCGCUUCGGGAGGGGCUCGCGGCCCAUCAGCUAGUUGGUGAGGUAACGGCUCACCAAGGCAUCGACGGGUAGCUGGUCUGAGAGGACGAUCAGCCACACUGGGACUGAGACACGGCCCAGACUCCUACGGGAGGCAGCAGUGGGGAAUCUUGCGCAAUGGGCGAAAGCCUGACGCAGCAACGCCGCGUGCGAGAGGAAGGCCUUAGGGUUGUAAAUCGCUUUCGGCAGGGACGAAAUUGACGGUACCUGCAGAAGAAGCCCCGGCCAACUACGUGCCAGCAGCCGCGGUAACACGUAGGGGGCGAGCGUUGUCCGGAUUUAUUGGGCGUAAAGAGCUCGUAGGCGGCUCAGUAAGUCUGCUGUUAAAGCUCCAGGCUCAACCUGGAGAGGCCAGUGGAUACUGCUGUGGCUAGAGUCCGGUAGGGGAGCGUGGAAUUCCCAGUGUAGCGGUGGAAUGCGCAGAUAUUGGGAGGAACACCAGCGGCGAAGGCGGCGCUCUGGACCGGAACUGACGCUGAGGAGCGAAAGCGUGGGUAGCAAACAGGAUUAGAUACCCUGGUAGUCCACGCCGUAAACGUUGGGCACUAGGUGUGGGAUCCCGUCAACGGAUUCCGUGCCGUAGCUAACGCAUUAAGUGCCCCGCCUGGGGAGUACGGCCGCAAGGCUAAAACUCAAAGGAAUUGACGG
rnacentral:rRNA from 1 species